AUUGAACGCUGGCGGUAGGCCUAACACAUGCAAGUCGAACGGCAGCACAGUAAGAGCUUGCUCUUACGGGUGGCGAGUGGCGGACGGGUGAGGAAUACAUCGGAAUCUACGUGUUCGUUAGGGGUAACGUAGGGAAACUUACGCUAAUACCGCAGACGACCUGCGGGUGAAAGCAGGGGAUCUUCGGACCUUGCGCGAUUGAGUGAGCCGAUGUCGGAUUAGCUAGUUGGCGGGGUAAAGGCCCACCAAGGCGACGAUCCGUAGCUGGUCUGAGAGGAUGAUCAGCCACACUGGAACUGAGACACGGCCCAGACUCCUACGGGAGGCAGCAGUGGGGAAUAUUGGACAAUGGGCGCAAGCCUGAUCCAGCCAUACCGCGUGGGUGAAGAAGGCCUUCGGGUUGUAAAGCCCUUUUGUUGGGAAAGAAAAGCAGCAGGUUAAUACCCCGCUGUUAUGACGGUACCCAAAGAAUAAGCACCGGCUAACUUCGUG
rnacentral:rRNA from 1 species